rnacentral:rRNA from 1 species
AUGAACGCUGGCGGCGUGCCUAAUACAUGCAAGUCGAGCGAACAGACGAGGAGCUUGCUCCUCUGACGUUAGCGGCGGACGGGUGAGUAACACGUGGAUAACCUACCUAUAAGACUGGGAUAACUUCGGGAAACCGGAGCUAAUACCGGAUAAUAUAUUGAACCGCAUGGUUCAAUAGUGAAAGACGGUUUUGCUGUCACUUAUAGAUGGAUCCGCGCCGCAUUAGCUAGUUGGUAGGGUAACGGCUUACCAAGGCAACGAUGCGUAGCCGACCUGAGAGGGUGAUCGGCCACACUGGAACUGAGACACGGUCCAGACUCCUACGGGAGGCAGCAGUAGGGAAUCUUCCGCAAUGGGCGAAAGCCUGACGGAGCAACGCCGCGUGAGUGAUGAAGGUCUUCGGAUCGUAAAACUCUGUUAUUAGGGAAGAACAAAUGUGUAAGUAACUAUGCACGUCUUGACGGUACCUAAUCAGAAAGCCACGGCUAACUACGUG